GAAAUUGAAAUGGAAGAGUUUUUGCCGAACUAGGCCAGGCCAUAUCUGGGGUGAUUUUGGAUAGAACAACUCUCACCACUACACCAACCACUUCCAGUGUUUACCCAAUUGAUUUACCCUUCUCAACGUUCUCAAUAUUUACAACAACUCACCUCAAAGACUGUACUUUUCCUCUUCUUCUCGAUCCCUUACCUUCCAUCCACUCCCCAAUUUUCCCUUGACAUCCCCCCUGACUAUCUUCUUUUAUGAGCAACCUUGAGAAUUAUGAUUCAUUAGAGACAGAGAGGAAGUGUACCUACUUUUUGGAACCAACCUGUCCAUUUUAAUGAGAAGUCGGUGUGGGUGACCCUGUGUUGUGCAGAAAUUAAUUUUAGGAUCAAUUGUUGUUACAUAUUAUAUUGAAGUAUUAGAUUGUAAUAAUAAAAUAUUUUGGAAUUUUU
ensembl:lincRNA linc-87 ncRNA